UUAAGUGAAUAAGGGCGCACGGUGGAUGCCUUGGCACUAGGAGCCGAUGAAGGACGGGACUAACACCGAUAUGCUUUGGGGAGCUGUAAGUAAGCUAUGAUCCAGAGAUUUCCGAAUGGGGAAACCCAAUAUCUUUUAUAGGAUAUUACUUUUCAGUGAAUACAUAGCUGAUUAGAGGUAGACGCAGAGAACUGAAACAUCUUAGUACCUGCAGGAAGAGAAAGAAAAUUCGAUUCCCUGAGUAGCGGCGAGCGAAACGGGAAGAGCCCAAACCAACAAGCUUGCUUGUUGGGGUUGUAGGACUCCAAUAUGGUAGUCUGUUAGUAUAGUUGAAGGAUUUGGAAAAUUCCGCUAAAGAGGGUGAAAGCCCCGUAGACGAAAUGCUAAUAACACCUAGGAGGAUCCUGAGUACGGCGGAACACGAGAAAUUCCGUCGGAAUCCGCGGGGACCAUCCCGCAAGGCUAAAUACUCCCUAGUGACCGAUAGUGAACCAGUACCGUGAGGGAAAGGUGAAAAGCACCCCGGAAGGGGAGUGAAAUAGAUCCUGAAACCGUGUGCCUACAACAAGUCAAAGCUCGUUAAUGAGUGAUGGCGUGCCUUUUGUAGAAUGAACCGGCGAGUUACGAUUGCAUGCGAGGUUAAGUCGAAGAGACGGAGCCGCAGCGAAAGCGAGUCUGAAUAGGGCGAAUGAGUAUGUAGUCGUAGACCCGAAACCAUGUGAUCUACCCAUGUCCAGGUUGAAGGUGCGGUAAAACGCACUGGAGGACCGAACCCACGUACGUUGAAAAGUGCGGGGAUGAGGUGUGGGUAGCGGAGAAAUUCCAAACGAACUUGGAGAUAGCUGGUUCUCUCCGAAAUAGCUUUAGGGCUAGCCUCGGAAUUGAGAAUGAUGGAGGUAGAGCACUGUUUGGACUAGGGGCCCAUCUCGGGUUACCGAAUUCAGAUAAACUCCGAAUGCCAUUCAUUUAUAUCCGGGAGUCAGACUGCGAGUGAUAAGAUCCGUAGUCGAAAGGGAAACAGCCCAGACCACCAGCUAAGGUCCCAAAAUAUAUGUUAAGUGGAAAAGGAUGUGGGGUUGCACAGACAACUAGGAUGUUGGCUUAGAAGCAGCCACCAUUUAAAGAGUGCGUAAUAGCUCACUAGUCGAGUGACCCUGCGCCGAAAAUGUACCGGGGCUAAACAUAUUACCGAAGCUGUGGACUACACCAUUAGGUGUAGUGGUAGGAGAGCGUUCUAAGGGCGUUGAAGGUCGAUCGUGAGGACGGCUGGAGCGCUUAGAAGUGAGAAUGCCGGUAUGAGUAGCGAAAGACAGGUGAGAAUCCUGUCCACCGUAUGACUAAGGUUUCCUGGGGAAGGCUCGUCCGCCCAGGGUUAGUCGGGACCUAAGCCGAGGCCGAUAGGCGUAGGCGAUGGACAACAGGUUGAUAUUCCUGUACCAGUUGUUUUUGUUUGAGCAAUGGAGGGACGCAGUAGGCUAAGGAAUGCAUGCGAUUGGAAGUGCAUGUCCAAGCAAUGAGUCUUGAGUAGAGUUAAAUGCUUUACUCUUUAAGGACAAGUUGUGACGGGGAGCGAAAUAAUAGUAGCGAAGUUCCUGAUGUCACACUGCCAAGAAAAGCUUCUAGUGAGAAAACAACUGCCCGUACCGUAAACCGACACAGGUAGUCGAGGAGAGUAUCCUAAGGUGAGCGAGCGAACUCUCGUUAAGGAACUCGGCAAAAUGACCCCGUAACUUCGGGAGAAGGGGUGCUGACGACCGUCAGCCGCAGUGAAUAGGCCCAAGCGACUGUUUAUCAAAAACACAGGUCUCUGCAAAAUCGUAAGAUGAAGUAUAGGGGCUGACGCCUGCCCGGUGCUGGAAGGUUAAGAGGAUGGGUUAGCUUCGGCGAAGCUCAGAAUUGAAGCCCCAGUAAACGGCGGCCGUAACUAUAACGGUCCUAAGGUAGCGAAAUUCCUUGUCGGGUAAGUUCCGACCCGCACGAAAGGCGUAACGAUUUGGGCACUGUCUCAACGAGAGACUCGGUGAAAUUUUAGUACCUGUGAAGAUGCAGGUUACCCGCGACAGGACGGAAAGACCCCAUGGAGCUUUACUGUAG
rnacentral:rRNA from 1 species